rnacentral:lncRNA from 1 species
CCCUAAUGAAAUUCGGAAUGCUAAUCCCUUAAAUAAAACAACAACAAUAGAAAUAGAUCAUUCGGAUUUCCAUUUGAAGCCUCAAAUCUUUCAAUAUCUUAAAUUCGUUAAAAUAAAAAAUUAGCUUAAAUUUUAAAGUCAAUUAUCGUUGACCGAUUCAAAUCAAAUAAAUUGAAAAAUUGCACAAAAGAAAUAAAAAUUUUGAAAUUUUGAAUAGUCGACUUGAAAUGGUUCAUAAUUAAAAUAAGUUAUGUAAGGAGGGGGCGGGAAGGGUCUGGGCCCUUUGGGGGUUUUAUAUUUCGAGAGAAAUUUGUAAAUAUUGUUCUCCUUCAUCCUAUUGGUGCGUUUGGUUCGCGCUAUCUUUUAAAAAUUCCUAGUAAUCCAAUAAGAAUGAAAAAAUAUGACGGUGUUUGGCUAAACGCACUAAGUAAUCUAGUUGGUAAUAUUGGAUUCACUUGGGAAUAAGAUUCACCCCAAAGUACUAAUCUCAUUCCCUUGAGGGAGGGUGGGUAUCCUCAUAUUAAUGGAUUGGGGUAAUCAUAAUAUGUCUAAUCUCUUUCUUUCUUCCUACCCGCCGGCUAAUUGAUAUUAUUUUUCUUUACACUCUAACCUUAUAUCUCUCUCUAAACUUAUUUUUCUCUUUAAAAUUCAACUUUUUUUUCUCUCUCUAAACUAAGCUUUCUCUCUCUCUCUCUUUCUAAAAUUUCAACUCUCUCACUCCGUCUAAUUUCGACUAUAUUUUUCUUUCUAUUUUUUUAAUUAUGCUCUUUCUCUAACUUAUACUCUCUCUCCCUUUUUCUAAAGAGAUGUUGAAACUUUUGGUAACAUUAUCUAAAAUUAAUUAAAUAAAUAAAUUAAUUAAUUGUAUAAUUUUUGUAAUAUUAAAUAACAUGGCUAAUUAAUAUUAUCGUGUGAACCAAACACAGUAAUUCCACAUUCUUAGUAAUAAGAUUCUCGGAUAUCUUUUAUUCCUAGUAAUUUUUUAUAAUGCGAACCAAACGCACCCUAAAAGCAAUAUUUUAUUAUUGUCUUAUCAUUUUUUUAAUAUUAAAAUCUAAAGAUUUGUGA